rnacentral:rRNA from 1 species
AGGAUGAACGCUGGCGGCGUGCCUAACACAUGCAAGUCGAACGUCCUGUCUCGCAAGAGGCAGGGAGUGGCGGACGGGUGAGUACCACGUGGGUCAUCUACCGUGAGGUGAGGAAUACCGGCGAGAAAUCGCCGACAAGACCGCAUAGGCUCGAUGCAAGUCGAGCAAAGCUCUUUCGAGAGAGGGAGCGCCACACGAGGAGCCUGCGCCCGAUUAGCUAGCUGGUGGAGUAACGGUUCACCAGGGCGACGAUCGGUAGCUGGUCUGAGAGGACGAUCAGCCACACUGGGAUUGAGAACGGCCCAGACUCCUACGGGGGGCAGCAGUGAGGAAUUUUCGUCAAUGGGGGCAACCCUGAACGAGCAACGCCGCGUGCAGGAAGAAGGUUUCGGAUCGUAAACUGCUUUUCUCGGGGAAGAGAACGGACGGUACCCGAGGAAUCGAGCCCCGGCUAACUACGUGCCAGCAGCCGCGGU